GAUGAAGAACGCAGCGAAAUGCGAUACUUGGUGUGAAUUGCAGAAUCCCGUGAACCAUCGAGUCUUUGAACGCAAGUUGCGCCCGAGGCCUCCUGGUCGAGGGCACGUCUGCCUGGGUGUCACGCAUCGUCGCCCCCGCUCCCCUCGGCUCACGAGGGCGGGGGCGGAUACUGGUCUCCCGCGCGCUCCCGCUCGCGGCUGGCCCAAAAUCGAGUCCCCGGCGACGGUCGCCACGACGAGCGGUGGUUGAGAGACCCUCGGACACUGUCGUGCGCGCGCCCGUCGCCCCCGGGAUCUCCUGGACCCUCGGGCGUCGACCUUUCUAGGAUGCUCUCGUUGCGACCCCAGGUCAGGCGGGACUACCCGCUGAGUUUAAGCAUAUCAAUAAGCGGAGGA
rnacentral:misc_RNA from 1 species